UUUUUUAAGAGUUUGAUCCUGGCUCAGGAUGAAUGUUGGCGGCGUGCCUGAGAUAUGCAAGUCGAACGUCCAGUCGCAAGACUGGAGUGGCGGACGGCUGAGUAACACGUAGGAAUCUUCCCCAAAAUAAGGGAUAGCUCGUCGAAAGACGGGGUAAUCCUUUAUGGUCCCGGCCUAGCUGGGUAAAGUGCUUAACUGCACGUUUUGGGAUGAGCCUGCGGCUUAUCACGGUAGUUGGUAGGGUAACGGCCUACCAAGCCUAUAACGAGUAGCUGGUCUUAGAGGAUGGUCAGCCAGAGGGGGACUGAGACACGGCCCCCACUCCUACGGGAGGCAGCAAUCAGGAAUAGUCGGCAAUGGGCGCAAGCCUGACCGCGCGACGCCGCGUGUAGGAAUAAGCUCUAACGAGCGUAAACUACUGUGGUAAGGGAAGAAGUUCCGCCUUUGGCGGGAUUGACGGUACCUUACUAGAAAGGGGCCGCUAACUGCGUGCCAGAAGCGUCGGUAAUACGUGGGCCCCAAACAUUAUCCGGUUUUACUGGGUGUAAAAAGUAGUGUAGGUGUUCUUUUAAGUUUUGUUUCAAAUUCUACGGCCUAACCGUAGACAGGGGCAAAAUACUGAAAGAAUUGAGUUUUCUUUAGGGAGAUUGGAACUCAGGGAGGAGUAGUGAAAUGCGUUGAUACCCUGGGGAACACCAGUGGCGAAGGCGAAUCUCUGGAAGAUAACUGACACUGAGACACGAAAGCUAGGGGAGCGAAGCAGAUUAGAGACCUGCGUAGUCCUAGCUGUAAACGCAUGCUUGCUAGCCGCAUUUUUUGACCUUCGGGUCACAAGGUGUAGCGUAGGUAACCCGUUAAGCAAGCCACCUGGGGAGUACGGCCGCAAGGUUGAAACUCAAAGGAAUUGGCGGGGAGGCACACAACCAGUGGAACAUGUGGUUUAAUUCGAAACAAACCGAAGAACCUCACCAGGGUUUGACAUGGAAGAGUUCUAGUCCGAUGAAAGUCGGAUGAUUCGCAAGAAGGCUUUCACAGGUGCUGCAUGGCUGUCGUCAGCUCGUUCCGUGAGGAGUGCCCUUAAGUGGGACAACGAGCGCAACCCUUGUCUUGUGUUAAAUCUAUCACAAGAGACUGCCCUGAUAUUUUUAUCGGGGAGGAAGGAGAGGCAGACGUCAAGUCAGCAUGGUCCUUAUACCCUGGGCUACACACAUGUUACAAUGGGAAGAACAACGAGGGCUGCCAAGUCGCAAGACCGAGCAAAUCUCUUAAAUCUUCCCUCAGUGGGGAUUGAGGUCUGCAACCCGACCUCAUGAACGCGGAAUUGGUAGUAAUCGCGGAUCAGCUACGCCGCGGUGAAUACGUUCUUGCCUCUUGCACACACCGCCCGUCAAGCCAACAAAGUCGGGGAUACUUGAAUUUCGCGUAAGCGAGAGAGGGUAUCGCCGGCGAUGGGGGUUAAGUCGUAACAAGGUAACCGUUCUGGAAGGAGCGGUUGGAUCACCUCCUUU
rfam:Candidatus Roizmanbacteria bacterium RIFCSPLOWO2_01_FTLL_44_13 rifcsplowo2_01_scaffold_12834, whole genome shotgun sequence.